GAUGAACGCUGGCGGCGUGCCUAAUACAUGCAAGUCGAGCGAACGGACGAGAAGCUUGCUUCUCUGAUGUUAGCGGCGGACGGGUGAGUAACACGUGGAUAACCUACCUAUAAGACUGGGAUAACUUCGGGAAACCGGAGCUAAUACCGGAUAAUAUUUUGAACCGCAUGGUUCAAAAGUGAAAGACGGUCUUGCUGUCACUUAUAGAUGGAUCCGCGCUGCAUUAGCUAGUUGGUAAGGUAACGGCUUACCGAGGCAACGAUGCAUAGCCGACCUGAGAGGGUGAUCGGCCACACUGGAACUGAGACACGGUCCAGACUCCUACGGGAGGCAGCAGUAGGGAAUCUUCCGCAAUGGGCGAAAGCCUGACGGAGCAACGCCGCGUGAGUGAUGAAGGUCUUCGGAUCGUAAAACUCUGUUAUUAGGGAAGAACAUAUGUGUAAGUAACUGUGCACACCUUGACGGUACCUAAUCAGAAAGCCACGGCUAACUACGUG
rnacentral:rRNA from 1 species